UGGGGAAUUGUUCACAAUGGGCGCAAGCCUGAUGACGCAACGCCGCGUGGGGGAUGAAGGUCUUCGGAUCGUAAACCCCUGUCGAAUGGGACGAAAGACUCGCGAGUGAAUACUUCGCGAGAGUGACGGUACCGUUAAAGGAAGCCACGGCUAACUCUGUGCCAGCAGCCGCGGUAAUACGUAGGGACCAAGCGUUGUUCGGAUUUACUGGGCGUAAAGGGCGCGUAGGCGGCGUGACAAGUCACUUGUGAAAUCUCCGGGCUUAACUCGGAACUGCCAAGUGAUACUGUCAUGCUAGAGUGCAGAAGGGGCAAUCGGAAUUCUUGGUGUAGCGGUGAAAUGCGUAGAUAUCAAGAGGAACACCUGAGGUGAAGACGGGUUGCUGGGCUGACACUGACGCUGAGGCGCGAAAGCUAGGGGAGCAAACGGGAUUAGAUACCCCCGUAGUCCCUGAGCGGGCUGGCAAGGCGCAU
rnacentral:rRNA from 1 species